CAGUCGCCGCGGUAAUACGUAGGGUGCAAGCGUUAAUCGGAAUUACUGGGCGUAAAGCGUGCGCAGGCGGUUUGUUAAGACAGAUGUGAAAUCCCCGGGCUCAACCUGGGAACUGCAUUUGUGACUGGCAAGCUAGAGUCUGGCAGAGGGGGGUGGAAUUCCGCGUGUAGCAGUGAAAUGCGUAGAUAUGCGGAGGAACACCGAUGGCGAAGGCAGCCCCCUGGGCCAACACUGACGCUCAUGCACGAAAGCGUGGGGAGCAAACAGGAUUAGAUACCCCCGUAGUCCCUGUCUCUUAUAC
rnacentral:rRNA from 1 species